GUACGGGUUGUGGGCGGGGUCUGAUGGUGUGGGCGGGGUCACGGCAGAAGAGGCGGGUGAGGGUUGGGCGGUGUGGGCGUGGCCACGAGAUGUGAGCGUGUUCUGUAACCUCUGUGGGCGUGGUCGGGGCGCUGGGCCGUGUGGGCGGGGUCUUGGGUUUGUGGGCGGGGCCGGACGCCCCCCGGCGGGCAGCGCUGAGCCCGGCGUUGGAUGGAGUGGGACUGGGGGGACACGGGGGACACGGGGGACACGGAGGGACACGGGACAGGACCGGGUGGCCGUGGGGACCCCCGGGGUCUGGGUGGCAUCGCCAAAGCUGGGGCCUGAGUUUCCUGCAUGAUCCGGCAGCGCCUGGACCCCCAUGGGCACUUGGGGGCAUGGGGAUCCCGUGGCUGCACCCCAAAUCCGGGCACGUCGGGGUGCCGGGGGGUCCCAUACAUCGGGGUGCUGGGGGUGCUGCAGCUGCACCCCAAAGCCGCACAUAUCGGGGUACUGGGGUUCCCACACAUCGGGGUACUGAGGGAUCCUGCGGCUGCACCCCAAAUCUGGGCAUGUCGGGAUGCCGGGGGCUUUCACACAUCGGGGUGCUGAGGGGUCCUGCGGCUGCGCCCCAAAGCAGGGCACAUCGGGGUACCAGGGUGCCCCACACAUCGGGGUGCUGGGGAGUCCUGCGGCUGCACCCCAAAGCGGGGCACGUUGGGGUGCUGGGGGGUCCCACACAUUGGGAUGCUGGGGGGUCCCAUGAGGCCGGGAGUUGUCAGACCCCCCCAGGGGUCCCGGGGCCGUGGUGCCGGUGCCUGCCCGGACUCCUGGGUCCCUGCUCCGUUUCACCUGGGGUCACCGGGGUCACGGGGCGGGGGGGGCACCCCCAGCCCGCUGGGUUCCCGCGCCGCCCCUCCGUGCCUCAGUUUCCCCCCCAGCUGCGCCGUGGAAAGUCGGAAAUUUCCAGUGCGUGGGGCCGGGGGGGCAGGAUGCCGGGGAGGGGGGGGGCAGGAUGCCGGGGGGGCCCCUGCGCCCUUAUAAUGCUCGGCCGCGCCGCCCGCGCCGCUGCCGCCACCAUGCGAGGUAGGACCUGGCACGGGGGCUGCGUGUGCGGGGGGACACGCGUGUGCGGGCGAGGGGGUGUGCGAGGCCGGGGGUGCGCGUGUGCAGGGGCGUGGGAGCACACACGGGUGUGCACAUGGGUGUGCAGGGGUGUGGGAGCACACCUGGGUGUGCACAUGGGUGUGGGAGCACGCAGGGGUGUGCACACGCUUGUGCAGGGGUGUGGGAGCAUCCUGGGUGUGCACGCAUGUGUGCAGGGGUGUGGUAGCACGCACGGGUGUGCACACGCUUGUGCAGGGCUGUGGGAGCACACACGGGUGUGCACAUGUGUGUGCGGAGCUGUGGGAGCACACAUGGGUGUGCACACGCUUGUGCAGGGGUGUGGGGCACACACGGGUGUGCACAUGUGUGUGCAGAGCUGUGGGAGCACACACAGGUGUGCACACGCUUGUGCAGGGGUGUGGGAGCACACACGGGUGUGCACACGGGUGUGCAGGGCUGUGGGAGCACACACAGGUGUGCACACGCUUGUGCAGGGGUGUGGGAGCACACACGGGUGUGCACACGCUUGUGCAGGGGUGUGGGAGCACACACGGGUGUGCACAUGUGUGUGCAGGGGUGUGGGAGCACACACGGGUGUGCACACACUUGUGCAGGGGUGUGGGAGCACACACGGGUGUGCACACGGGUGUGCAGAGCUGUGGGAGCACACACGGGUGUGCACACACUUGUGCAGGGGUGUGGGAGCACACAUGGGUGUGCACGCACAUGUGCGGGGGUGUGGUAGCACGCAUGGGUGUGCACACGCAUGUGCAAGGGUGUGGGAGCAUCCUGGGCGUGCACACAUAUGUGGGAGCAUCCUGGGGGUGCACACGCUUGUGCAGGGAGCACGCACGUGUGUGCAAUCAGUGGGAGUGGACAUACAUGUGUGCAGGCAUGUUGGAGCCUGCAGGAGUGUGUGUGCGUGUGCAAGGGUUAGCGACCAUAUGUGUGCAAAGGUGGGGGCGCACGGAGAUCUGUGCACGUCUGCAAGCGUGUGUGAGAGUGUGUGUGUGUAUGCACACGCGUGGGCACGGCUGUGUGCUCGUGUGGGCUGGCUGGAGCGUGCGGCAGCAUCACGCGUGUUCCGGAGCUCACGCAGGCGUGUUGCUGCAAGAUACAGCACGCCUGCGCGUGUCGAGGCGUGUGCAGGCGUGUUUUGGGGCACGCGCGUUACGAGGGUCGUGUAACCGCGUGUGCACGCACGACAGGGUCUGCACACGCGUGUGGCGCGCGCUGCUCCGUGCACACACGUGUUGCAGCGUGUUGCUGCGCUGAUGACACGUAGCUGCGUGCACACGCGUGUCGUGGCGUGUCAACGUGUGGCGCAGCUUGUGCGGGUGUCGGACGUGGCUCCGGGCGUCUGUGCACAGAGUGUGAUGUACAGGCGUGUCAAGGGUUGUGCACACGGGUUGUGGGGCUUGCACGCACGUCAUGGGUUGUGCACAUGUGUUGUGGGGCUGUGCACACACAUCAUGGGCUGUGCACACGUGUUGUGGGGCUGUGCACACACGUCAUGGGCUGUGCACACAUGUUGUGGGGCUGUGCACACACGUCAUGGGCUGUGCAUGUGUGUUGUGGGGCUGUGCACACGCAUCAUGGGCUGUGCACACGUGUUGUGGGGCUGUGCACACACGUCAUGGGCUGUGCACACACGUCAUGGGCUGUGCACAUGUGUUGUGGGGCUGUGCACACACGUCAUGGGCUGUGCACACGUGUUGUGGGGCUGUGCACACACGUCAUGGGCUGUGCAUGUGUGUUGUGGGGCUGUGCACACGCCUCAUGGGCUGUGCACACGUGUUGUGGGGCUGCGCACACACGUCAUGGGCUGUGCACACACGUCAUGGGCUGUUCACACGCAUCAUGGGCUGUUCACACGCAUCAUGGGCUGUGCAUGUGUGUUGUGGGGCUUGCACACGCAUCAUGGGCUGUGCACACGUGUUGUGGGGCUGUGCACACACGUCAUGGGCUGUGCACACACGUCAUGGGCUGUGCAUGUGUGUUGUGGGGCUGUGCACACGCAUUGUGGGGCUUGCACGCACAUCACGGGCUGUGCACGCAUGUCGUGGGUCUUGCACGCGUGUUGCGGGGCACGCAGGCAUAUUGUGGGCUGUACACGCAUGUCGUGGGGCUUACACACGUCGUGGGCUGUCCACGCGUGUCGUGUGGCACACACAUACGUUGCAGAGCUCGCACUCAUGUUGCACGUCUUGCAUGCGUGUUCUGGCGUGUUGCCGCACGUCCCGCGGUGCCGGGCAGCCCCGUUUCCCCCCCAGCUGUGUCUGCAUGCCGGGGGUGCCCCCCAGCACCCAUGGGUGCCCCCGUGCACCUGUGGCUUGGUCGCUCGCCCUUAGAUGUGGUGGGGCCGGCAGCUGCGCGGGGCUGGCGCAGGUGACACCGGCGGGGACAUGGAUGGGGACACGCAGGUGGCCCUGCUCCGGCGCCACCCCCACCCACAGCGUUCCCCCCCAGCUCUGGGGAAACUGAGGCAGGGGUGGCAGCACCCCUGGGUGCUGGGCCAGGGUCCCCGGCGUGGCCCGGCGCGGUGGCCUGUGCCGUGACGUGUCACCCUGUGUCAUGGCGUGUUUUGCCGUGACGCCGCAGCGGGGGGGCCGGGAGCGCCCAGUCGUCCCCCCGCCCUUGGGUGGUGGGUGCUGAUGGGUGCUGGGGGGUCCUCAUGGGUGCUGGGGGGCGUUGGGUACCAGGGGGUGCUGGUGGGUGCUGGAGGGUGCUGGUGGGUGCUGGUGGAUGCUGGUGGGUACUGGGGUGUACUGGUGGGUGCUGGUGGGUACUGGUGGGUGCUGGAGGGUGCUGGAGGGUGCUGGAGGGUGCUGGUGGGUGCUGGUGGAUGCUGGUGGGUACUGGGGUGUACUGGUGGAUGCUGGUGGGUACUGGGGUGUACUGGUGGGUGCUGGUGUGUACUGGUGAGUGCUGGUGGGUACUGGUGAGUUCUGAGGGGUGCUGGGGGUUGCUGGUGGGUACUGGUGUGUACUGGUGUGUACUGGUGUGUACUGGUGGGUACUGGUGGGUGCUGGUGGGUACUGGUGGGUUCUGAGGGGUGCUGGUGGGUGCUGGGAGUUGCUGGUGGGUACUGGUGUGUACUGGUGCAUCCUGGUGGGUGCUGGUGAGGAUGUUGGGUACCACUAGGUGCUGGUCGGGCUGACGGGUACUGGUGUGUGCUGGUGGAUGCUGGUGCAUACUGGUGGAGGGUAUCAGUGGGUGCUGGGGGGUCUAUUGGGUGCUGGUGGGGAUUGAUGGGUACUGGUGGGGCUGGUGGGUACUGGUGGGGAUGUUUGGUACUGGUGGGGAUGUUUGGUACUGGUGGGUACUGGUCGGGCUGAUGGGUACUGGUGCGUACUGGUGCGUACUGGUGUGUGCUGGUGGGUCUGUUGGAUACUGGUGGGGCUGUGUGAUACUGGUGUGUACUGGUGGGGCUGGUGGGUGCUGCUGCGUACUCGUGAGUACUGGUGCAUCCUGGUGGGUGUUGGUCGGUGCUGGUGGAUGCUGGUGCACACUGGUGGAGCUGGAGGGGUACCAGCGGGUACUGGGGGGUCUAUCGGGUGCUGGUGGGGGCUGGUGAGGACCGACGGGGUCCUGCUGGGUCUGUUGGGUACUGGUGUGUACUGGUGGGGCUGUUUGGUGCUGAUGUGUACCGGUGUGUACUGGUGCAUCCCGGUGGGGCUGUCGGGUACCACUGGGUGCUGGAGGAGCCGGGGGGUGCCGGGGGUGCCCGCGUUGCUGCCGUUGGGUGCAGAGGGAGCUGUGGGGCUGGCGAGACCUCGCCGACCUCUGCCCGCCGGUUCCCGGCAGGAGCAGCACCCGAAAGCGGCGCUUCCUGGCAGCCGCCGGCGCCGCCGCCGUUGACUAAUGCGGGUGCCGGGGGGGCGCUGAGUCAACGCCCCGAAUUCCCAGGGCCCCCCCCUUUGCCGGCGCCGCCGCGGGGGUCCCCGGUGCCCGGUGCCGGAUGCGCGGGCGGCCGCCGGGGCCCAAACUGGGGCAGGUGGAAAAAGCCGACGAAGCGGAUUCGGGCGCGGGAGGAAGAGCUGCGGGCGCGUGUGCACGCGUGUGCACGCGUGUGCGGGCGUGAAGGAGCGGCUGCCCGCGGGCACGGGCACGCCGGAGCGUGUGCUGGUGUGCCAGAGCGUGUGCUGGUGUGCCAGAGCGUGGACGGAUGUGCCAGAGCGUGUUUUGGCGUGUGCAAACACACACGGGCACAUCCCAGCCAGUCUGAGCAUCCCCAAGCGUGCAAGAGUGAGUGUGAGCACACAAGCAAACAGGAGCGUGCACAAGCAUGUGUGAGUGUGCGCAAGUGCACACAGGUGUGCACAAGCACAUAGGAGCGUGCACAAGCAUGUGUGAGUGUGUGCAGGCACACACAGGCGUGCACAAGCGUCUGUGAGUGUGCCCAGGCGUGUGUCACCCCCCCCAUGUCACCAACCCCAUGCAAGUGGGUGUGCACAACGUGCAAGCCCCCAGCCCCCCAGCUCAGAUGUCCCCUCUGGCUCUGCUGUGUCCCCCCCCUGCUCCGGUGUCUGUUGUGUCCCCCCCCAUCUCCAAUGUCCCCUCUGGCUCUGCCAUGUCCCCCCCAGCUCCAGUGUCCCCUCUGGCUCUGCUGUGUCCCCCCCACUCUGGUGUCCCCUCUGGCUCUGCCGUGUCCCCCCCAGCCCUGAUGUCCCCUCUGGCUCUGCUGUGUCCCCCCCACUCUGGUGUCCCCUCUGGCUCUGCCAUGUCCCCCCCCAGCUCCAGUGUCUGCUGUGUCCCCCCCCAGCCCUGGUGUCCCUUCUGGCUCUGCUGUGUCCCCCCCAUCUCCAAUGUCCCCUCUGUUUCUGCUUUGUCCUCCCCAUCUCCAGUGUCCCCUCUGGCUCUGCCGUGUCCCCCCCAUCUCCAGUGUCUAUUGUGUCCCCCCCACUCCAGUGUCCCCUCUGGCUCUGCCGUGUCCCCCCCAUCUCCAGUGUCUAUUAUGUCCCCCCCAUCUCUAGUGUCUAUUGUGUCCCCCCCACUCCAGUGUCCCCUCUGGCUCUGCCGUGUCCCCCCCAUCUCCAGUGUCUAUUAUGUCCCCCCCAUCUCCAGUGUCUAUUGUGUCCCCCCCACUCCAGUGUCCCCUCUGGCUCUGCCGUGUCCCCCCCAUCUCCAGUGUCUAUUGUGUCCCCCCCACUCCAGUGUCCCCUCUGGCUCUGCCGUGUCCCCCCCAUCUCCAGUGUCUAUUGUGUCCCCCCCACUCCAGUGUCCCCUCUGGCUCUGCCGUGUCCCCCCCAUCUCCAGUGUCUAUUGUGUCCCCCCCACUCCAGUGUCCCCUCUGGCUCUGCCGUGUCCCCCCCAUCUCAGCCAUUCCCCCACUCUGGUGUCACCCCACAUCCCCAUCCCCAGUGUCUCCAUCCCCGGUGUCCCCCACCCCGUGACCGCACCCCGUGUCCCCCUGCCCACCCAGCAGGCGCAGCAGUGCCACACUGGUGCCACACUGGUGCCAUGGCGGUGUCACCGCGGGGCCGUGCCAGGCUGUGCCGGGCUGUGCCGGGGCGGCGGGCGCCUUCCUGCGAGGUGGGGCCGUGUCCCAGUUGCGGCUUCGCCGGCGCUCGCUGCCGCUGUGGUUUUGGUGGCGUCCGGCUGGGCCCACCCUGGGGACACCCGGGGGGACCCUGAGCCCCGAGGGGGACAUCGGAGCACAUGGGUGGCACAGAGUCCAUGGGGACCAUGGGGACAUGUGAGCCCAUUGGUGGCAUCUGGGUCCAUAGGGGACAGAGAUGCCCAUAGGGACACAUCAGCCCACGGGGUGCUGGUGACAACGCAGGUGGUCCCAGAGGGGACAUGGGGUCCCGUGUGGCCCUCGGGAGCACACGGGGUUACAUGGGAACCUUGGGGGGCACAUGGGAGCCCACGGGGUGACACGUGAGGACAUGGGGGACGUGAGUCUGCAGGGGACACGUGGGGCCCUGUGGGGACACGUGGGUCCGUGAGGGACAUGUGAGCCCGUGGGGGACACACAGUCCCGUAGGGGACAUGUAAACCCAUAGAGGACACGUGAGGCCAUAGGGGACACACAGUCUUAUAGGGGACAUGUGAGCCCAUAGGGGACACAUGGAUCCAUAAAGGACAUGUGAGCCCACAGGGGACACAUGGGCCCAUAGGGGACACCCAGUCCUAUAGGGGACACAUAGUCCUAUAGGAGACACGUGAACCCAUAGGAGACACACAGUCCUAUAGGGCACAUGUGAACCCAUAGGGGCCACAUGGUCCUAUAGGGAACGUGUGAGCCCAUAGAGGACACGUGAGGCCAUAGUGGACACACAGUUCUAUAGGGAACAUGUGAACCCAUAGGGGACACAUGAGCCCAUAGGGGGCACACAGUCCUAUAGGUGACAUGUGAGCCCAGAGGUGCCAUAUGAGCCCAUAGGGGACACGUGAGGCCGUAAGUGCCACAUGAGCCCAUAGGGGACAUGUGAACCCAUAGGGGACACCCAGUCCUAUAGGGGACACAUGAGGCCACAGGGGACACGGGGCCCUAUGGGGGACCCGUGAGCCCGGGGUGAGCCUGUGAUGCUGCAGGUGACACACACGUCCCCGGGGACCCCUGGGGUCCCCACGCUGUCCCCCCCCAGCCCACAUCGAGGUGAUCCCCUGCAAGAUCUGCGGGGACAAGUCCUCGGGGAUCCACUACGGGGUCAUCACCUGCGAGGGCUGCAAGGGCUUUUUCCGGCGCAGCCAGCAGAGCCGCCCGCGCUUCACCUGCUCGCGGCAGCAGAACUGCCCCAUCGACCGCGCCAGCCGCAACCGCUGCCAGCACUGCCGCCUGCAGAAGUGCCUGCGCCUCGGCAUGUCCCGG